rnacentral:rRNA from 1 species
UACAGAGGGUGCAAGCGUUAAUCGGAAUGACUGGGCGUAAAGCGUGUGUAGGUGGUUGUAUAAGUUAGAUGUGAAAUCCCUGGGCUUAACCUGGGAAUUGCGUUUAAGACUGUUCAGCUAGAGUACUGUAGAGGGUAGUGGAAUUUCCAGUGUAGCGGUGAAAUGCGUAGAUAUUGGAAGGAACACCAGUGGCGAAGGCGACUACCUGGAUAGAUACUGACACUGAGACACGAGAGCGUGGGGAGCAAACAGG